CUGAGCUGUCAGCACAGAGCCUGAUGCUGGGCUUGAACCCAGGAGCCGUGAGAUCAGGACCUGAGCCAAAGUUGGAAGCUUAACUGACUGAGCCACCCAACCGCUCCUCCAACAGAGAGGAAUUUUAGCUGGGAAUGAAGCAAUUUAGUGUUCUAAGUGGUCUUUUGGUUAGUGGUAGAGUUUUCCACCAACCAUUAGGGAAAGGGUAGGUACUAUAAGCAGUAAGUUAGGCUGUUGAGUAUUGCUUCCUCGUAGUCCAAAUGAAUAGGUCUAAAUAUGACACAUUCUCUGUUGGUAGAUAUGGCUGUCUUUCUUUUUGUCUGAUAUAUGGUGGAAGUCAAAUGGUGCCAUAUACUAGGUCUAUUUUUCUUGAUUCUGCCUUUUGUAAAAUGUCCUUUGUUUCUCUGUUUUCCCUAUUGGUUGUAGAGGUGAGUUAGGAAUCACACACAUAUGCACUCAUACAUUUAUAAGCAUAAAACACACACAAAUAUAUGUUGGUGACUAGACUUCAAAUGAAUGUUUGAAAGAUCAGGCUUUAAAUGAGGUAUUCAAUGUAAGUGUCAAUAUUAUUAAGUGUCAAAUCCAUGUUAGACUCGAAUUCAGACAAUUGACUAUGACUGGCUACAACCCACUGAUGCUUUUAAGAAUCUUCUCAAAAGCAAAGCCAGAGAAAAUGAGGACAUAAUCAACUGGGAAGAUUGAUGUCUCUCAUAUCUCAGCCAAAGACAUUGCCAAGAAUCUAAAUACAUCUAAUGGAAAAUGAGAUUACAAGAGGAAUAGCAUUAUAAGAGGAAUAACAUUUUAUGAAAUUGGUAUAUUCCAUGUAUUUGUUGCAUAUUUAGAUAUUUUACUGGUUGUUCUAAAGACAUGUAUAAGGAAAGACCUUAACAAAAAAUUUCCAUGGAGUAACUUAUAGGUAUGGAAUUUAUACAGUAAUAUCAUAAAUUAUAACCAUUUUAUGAGUUAAUGCCAGUUAAAUUAAGUGUGAUUUUUAGACUAUAUGUAGAUAUGGCAAAUAGUUAGUUCAAAGAACUGCUUGACAUUUUAUGUUGUUCAUUCCCUCAAUCUAAAAUCUGCCCUCCCUCUAGAAUUUCAAGAGAAAAAAAAUCCAUUUUUAUAUUCCCUCUCUUUUUAUUCAAAAAGGAGCUUUGAAAAUAUCUAGUCUAUAAAACUGUAUCCAAAAAAUGUACAUUAGUCUGUCUUACAGGUGUUAAUACUACUUGCCUAACAGUCAGGCCUAUCUCCAUUCUGUUUCCUAAAUUCAAAUUCGAGAAAACACAAAAAUACAUAGAUAGAAAUAUCACUCUAAUAGCUUUUUUAAAAAACUGUAUUAUUACUAUUUUAUUGUUAAGGAAUCCACUUGUGUGACUCGCAUGAAGUCCAGACUGGGUUAACAGCAAUGAGUCCUGGAGGUUACAAGCACUGUAUUCUCUCUCUACCUGAGCUGAAAACCCAGACUCAUGAGGCCUCAAUCCCUGCCUCCCAAUUCCCAGAAGAUGCCAAAGCCAACUAUAUGGCAGGCUUCUUCAGAGGAGAAUACGACUUUGUCUUCCCAGAAGACAAACCCUCUUACUUUGCUUUAUGAGGGAGAUAGCAAGCCCAAACCACAGACAGGUUAGGACUUACACAGGCCCCCACGUAAUACCUCUUUUUAAGAAAGAAAAAGAAACAAAGAUCUUCCUGCAGAAAUUACAUUCAAACUAUUUCCAUAGAAAAAUAUCACAUGAAAAAACUACCCACUGGCAUUUAGACUUUUGGUGUUAAUCUGUUUAGUCACAGGCUGUAGCAGACUGUGGCCGAUGGUUAUUUUCAAGGCUCUGUUAAGACCACAUACCUGAGGAAUUUUCCUCAGAUAAGAUGCUAGGGAUCUAUGCAGGAUGCUUUAUUUUGUAAGAAAAUUUUAUCUAUAGGCAUCGGAAUUCUCCUUGUUCAGAAUUAAAUGACCAGGUUAUCAUGUCUCUCCUUAUUUGACGACAGCAAAUUACAAGCAUAAGACAUAAGCAGUGCUUUCACUCUCAUUUUAAUUAGAAAAAAAAAAAAAAAAAGAAGAAGAAGCGGUUGAUAAUGAUAGUCACCACUUUGUAGGAUACAAGUUAGCUUGGCAGGAGGUCCCAG